rnacentral:lncRNA from 1 species
UGUGCCCAAUAAUUUUACUGAUCCACAACACAUAACUUAUAUGCAAAGUUGCAUAACAAAUUUCAUGAUCCAUAUAUCAAAGUUCCAUAGCAUCCAUACAUCCAAAAUUCCAUAGAAUCCAUAUAUACAUAUAGUUACAUAGCAUCCAUACAUACAUNCAUAGCUCCAUAGCAAAUAUAAUACACAAGAUACAUUGCGGGCAUUAGUACAUAAUAUUUGGCACUACAACAAAUGCCUUCAUGUCCAUAUCGUAGUCCAAAGAGCAUCCACAUGGUAACCUACAAGAUGAAAUCAUCAACAUGUCAAAUUUAACACUCUAAAUCAUAAAGAUCUUCAAGAAUGGUCUCUAAUUAUAAAUUUGAUCUUAAAAUGGGUCAAAUGAUCUUUACUUACAUGUUUUGAGCAACAGUGCUAGUGAUGCAGAGGCGAAAAGAGCAACCUCUAGCAAAUUACAACACUUGAAAAGCAUAGAGAUUUCUAUCGAUAAAUAGAUAGGAGUAGAGAAAGAAGCACCUCUGAACGGUACACUCAUUGCUUGUCUACUUUUAUCUGAUGGAGUGUGCAGCAAGAUCAACCAUUUUCUUCAAACUCCUCCAUGCAACACCUACUAUUAAAUGUAAUGUAACAAUCAGAUGCAACUAAAGAGUAGAUACAAAAGUAAUUUAAGCAAUUUAAAAACUUAAUUAGCACAUGUGUGCGCCCAUCAAAAGUGCAUUCACAUAUGUACAGUCUAGUAAUAUAUAACGCUGCUCGUUCACAUUGAUUUGUACGGCUUCGGUACAGCCACGUCAUCGAAUAUCAAGGAACUAGCGAACAACUACUUGCACAAAGAGAUGAUCACUACUGAUCAUGCUUGUUAACAAGUUCACUCUUCCUGAUGCUCAAGUCCUAUGCACGCUCAAGUCCUACAAAAACGUUCAGCUGUGGACCAUGAGAACAGCAGUACAAAAGAGAGUUCACUUUUUUAGCUUACAGUAUAUGACAAAAUUAAUAUCUUGUUCAAUGGCAUCAACCUAAAAGUGCUACCAAAUCUAUGGUGAAAUGAAUAGAACAAUAAACUAAUGAUUUCAUAUUUUAGAACGCAAGUCACCAUUUUUUCACUUCAGUACUUCGCAUCAAAAGAUAAUCAUUUCGAGUGAUGGCUACAAUUGCAAACUUUCCUUUACUAAGCCCGUACAAGCACUAAUUAGUGUGCCGCGUUUGGAAGUAAAGCAGAAUAUAGGCAUAGUAAAUGAGCUACAAACAGAGAGCUCAAACCCAUGACCAGUCCCAACAAUUAAAGGAAAAUUACAAAUGUCAAAAGGAAGUAAGGAACGCAAUCCUGAAAUUCAUCCACACUCAGCUGAUGCCUCCCUCCCUCCCUCUCNNNNNNNNNNNNNNNNNNNNNNNNNNNNNNNNNNNNNNCAUCUCUCUCUCUCGACUGCAUUGCAGAUGAAGUGUAGGUUUAGACCAUGGAGCCCUUUCUCCCUCUAUCUGGAUGGGUUAAGUAGCUGCAUCGCCAUGGUGAUCUCGUCGCUGCCUGACUCUCUGUCUGUGUUGCCCAUAGGCCACAAUCCCUAUUCUCCUCCCGCGACAACCACCACAUCCUCUCCAUUGCAGUUCAUUCUUCCGGUAAGAUAUGAUUUUCCUCAUCGCCAUGGACGAUUUGCAUCACAGCUAGAAAUCACUUACAGUUAUGUGUAUUUAUUUCUCCUCUUCUAGAUCUUUGAGAUUUGUUUUUUACAUUGUCAUCUUUCUUUGAGAUUUGGAUUUGGGUACUACUCGAUCUGGAAAGGGUUAACUUGCUACAACAUAUGCUUCCCUUAUCAGUGUUAAUGGAAAUGCCACUUGGGUCAGAACAACCAACACGUAAUAUACAAGUAAUUCAUUAUGGAUUUCUGGUAUGUGAUAAUUAAUUAAUUCAGUGUAUAUUACUUGAGGAACAGAGUCAUACAACUAGUUCGUUUCUUUCAUAUGUUAGUGCUUGCUUGAUUCCUUCAUGACCUGAUUCGAAAUGAGUUGGGCUGAGAGAAGAUAAUUCCAGUUUAUGUAUUUCUUGCAUACCAACAGUGCAUAGAGAAUAUAGAAAAAUACGUACUAUGUUGUUACUUGUCUCUCCUGGAGCUCAGGGUCUACCAUUACUCACUAGAAGAUCUCUUUACGGGUGAUGUCUAUUGGCAUUAGAUUUUUUGUGUGUGUGAUACAUCAAAUUAUUUUGAGGUUAGGAAUAAUCCCUUGUUGGUCUGGACGUGCACUUUCUCUCUCUUAUGCAUGCCACAAUGACUACCUAGAAGCUUAGUCUCUACUAACAAAAGCUAUUAUUCCUUGUAUACUUAGUCCUUGUAUGUUUAUCUCUACCAGUACAGUCUAUAGGUUGGCUAUUAUGUGUUAUAUCUAGAUUCCUAUUAAGAGUUACUUACGGGAUCAAUUUUGUUGUUCACUUAAAACCGUGCAGGUUCAGAUUGUUGGUGAACAAGGAUAAUAACGACUUAAUGCUAAAUGGUUGGUGAAGCUCAAAGGCAUAUAGUUUAGAUUAGAUUUCACAUCAUUGGUAGGAAUAGCAACUAGUUAGAAAAUUAUGCGCAUUGUUCUUGAGAAUGUAAUGUUUUUUCAUACCAUUGUCUAUAGUCGCUGCAACACAAGGUGGUGCAGGACGAGGAGUCAUCGUCCUCAUGGCCGGCGCCAGCGCCCUUGUGGGUGGGUUCAUCCUCCUGGUUGUAAUCACCGUUGACGUCCUCGUCCUCCCGUCGUCGUCCUACUGCUGCUCUAAAUCGAAGCACACAUGCAUCAUACAUACACAUAGGAACAAAUAUAAUUUGAAAUAGUACAGCAGAGCAAGCUUUGUAGGGAAAAAAUAACCUCACAAUAGGGAGGGUCGCAGUGGACGACCUCACACGUAAUCUGAAACCAUGCAUGCAACAAUGAAAAUUAAUGCAUAAGCAUUACGAAUCACAAGCCAAUUCUUUUCUUUGAAACUAAAAUGAAGAGGUGGGUACGUAUCACAAACCGAUUCCUUGAAAAGAAAAGCUAAUAUCUAGACAUUAUGAAUCAUAAACCAAUUCUUUUUGUUUGACAACCACAACUAGCAGUACAUGGUCGAAACAAAUCAUGUGAAAAUUAGUCUGAAUAUAAAAAAACUAGCAAAGAUAAUAACUAGUAGCACUGUCCAUUGGCAUGUACAUGUGUUAGAACAGAAGCAGCUAUUUUUAGAAUAAUCACGAAAAUUAAACCAAUACAACAUGUUAAUCAAUUUAGUAGCUCUCUGGUUCGCACAACAUAUAGGAGAGUAGUGGUCUGCUAUGUUUUGAACUUGAGCCCCGCAGACAUGCAUGUAUCUAAAUUUUAGAAACAAGAUUAGCUCACUUGAUCUGCAUUAUUUCUCACAUAAAAGUUAAACAAGUAACCAGAUAUAGUAAUCAAACAGAGGAGAUACCAUUGGUAUUCAACAUGCUGUAAAUCAAUCAACUCUAAAAUCAGAGAUCAGGCAACAUAAAAAAGGUAAAAGAAGCAACAUUUAGACCUCAUUGACAUGCAGAUCGCCUCGCCUCCCUUGCCUUCUUCUGGUCUGUCUCCUCCUUCUACACCUUCUCAUCCUUCCUCGUCCCCUUCUCCUUUUAUCUGGACAGGGAAAGCACCAAAUUGAUGCCCCUAAAAACAAACCUGGUCAGAUCAGGGAAAAAUGAAAUUUUCUUCCCAAAUCAAGGGACAUAGAGGACCGCCAAAGGCACGCCGGUGCCGGAGAUGAGGCCACGCCCCAAACCCUAACCGCGGGGGUUGGAUUGGGCGCGAGCGUUGGAGGCGAGGAGGGACGGAUCUGUCCGGAGGGAUCAAGGAAGAAUGGCGAGGUGAGCUCGGCAGCCACCUGCGCUCCGGCCAUGGCCGCCAGAGCUCGCUGGUGGCUGAGACGAGGCCGCGCCCCAAACCCUAACAACGGGGGAUGGGUUGGCCGCGAACGUUGGAGGCGGGGGGACGGAUCUCGCCGGAGGGACGAACGCAGCAUGGUGAGGUGAGGUCAGCAGCGUCCUGUGCGACGGCCAUGGCCGCCGGAGCUCACCGAUAAGGUCGUCGUCUGCGGCGGCUAACCCUAGGUCGCGGGAGGGCAGAGAGGUGAUGCUAUUGCAGGGGAGAGUGGCUUCGACGCGGCUGGGUGGGGGAUUUCCUUUUUAUUUAUUUUCGUUUUUGAUUGUGUGUG